GGAAGGGUGCCCUUCGGGGAAGUUCCGAGACAGGUGCUGCAUGGCUGUCGUCAGCUCGUGCCGUGAGGUGUUGGUUAAGUCCCGCAACGAGCGCAACCCUAUUGCCAGUUGCUACCAGGUAAUGCUGGGCACUCUGGUGAGACUGCCCCGGUUAACGGGGAGGAAGGUGGGGACGACGUCAAGUCAUCAUGGCCCUUACGCCUAGGGCUACACACGUACUACAAUGGCGCAUACAAAGGGCAGCGAUACCGCGAGGUGGAGCCAAUCCCAAAAAGUGCGUCCCAGUCCGGAUUGCAGUCUGCAACUCGACUGCAUGAAGUUGGAAUCGCUAGUAAUUCGAGAUCAGCAUGCUCGGGUGAAUGCGUUCCCGGGCCUU
rnacentral:rRNA from 1 species